GGCCCCAUUCGAGAUGAGAAGGGGCACCCUUGCUCAUGGUGUCCAGGAGUCGUUGAUGUGGCCACAUGGAGAUCAGGUUAUGCUUCCAUCACAGUAAGCUGAUUGCAGUGGUGACAAUGAGACCUGUGACAUUU